UAACCCUAGAAUGGAGAAACCUCUCUCUCUCUCUCUCUCUGUACCAACCAGUGUUUUCUGAAAUGGGAUUUUACACUCUGAAAAUUGUUAACGCGACCCUUUCUACGAUUGGUUUCCGAAAUGGAAUGUGUAAAUGACCAAAUGUCAUCUUUUCUACUAUUGCAGCUUCUGGGCAUCCUAUUAUAGGAAGAAAAGAUUCAGAUGGUUUGUGGUGGUUCGCCACCAUGGCUUCUCUGUCGUCCUUUCUAGGGAUGGAAGUCCACCAACUCUCUUACUUUCUAAAUCGAUUAUCCAUGUCUUCGCCGGUGAUAAGAGCAUCAUAGGCCAUGAGCCUCCAACAAGAACCUUGCGCAAAAGAGUUUUCGGAAGGCGCUUCCACACCGUUUCUUGAGCACAGGGUUUUGAAUGAUCAUGUCUGGACUCUAAAGGAGCACCUUUUGGCUUUGAGAAGUUGAACAGAGAGAACAAAUAUAUUUACUGAUUUGUUAUUUCGGUUGAUCUUUUUACUGCCUAUGAUGAGAACAUCUAUCACAAGGAUCAACAAGAAAUUGAAACUUGUUGAUUGCAAGGGUGAACGUGCUAAUGUAUCUGAGGCAUCAGUUAUCUUCUCCGCGACCGCAUCUUUUAAUCUUUAUUGAACUCGUUCUUGUGUGAAACAGAGAAAUUUUGUAGUGAGAGUAGGCAUUGCUGCCUAUUUCCUUCAACUUUUACUCAUUCUAUUUUGUGGUGCGGUGAAAAAUUCAACUCCAUUUGCGGUUAUGUAUCUUGUGUUAGAAGAGAUCUGCUCUUUCCAAAAAGUGUAAUUUUCUUCUUAUCUACUUUGAUUUGGUGUGGAAAUGAAGUUGACAAGCUUGAAUUAUUAAAUUUUGUUUUAGUUGGCAUGUCUGCCAUUUUGUUCAUGGUAAUGAUCACAUGGUCUUUGUUACCGUUCAAGUGCUCACCAGAAACGUGUAUAUCACCGGUACAUUUUCUUUUGCAAUAAAGCAUCAGUAAUAUGAAGCCCCAGCUUUGGUUCUUUGAAAUUGUGUUUGUCACUUGUCACUCUAUGUGCGCAUGGUGUCGACCCUUACGUCAGCAUAUGUGCACCAACCGUCUUAAAACUAUGCAAAAUCCUCUUGUCAAUUUUGUUGUACAAGUACAUCUAUUCCAUCUGAGGGAUAUAUUGCCCUGCAUCUACCUGCAAUUAUGUUAUUAGCUUUAUCGUAUAGGUAGAUGUGGAAUUUCUGGCUUAAGCAGCCUGUGGGAUCUGGACUGGGAAUAGCGUCAUCAUCAUCAUCAUAAGAAUGGUUACUGUCAUGCAUGGUCCUGUCAAUUAGUUUAGCCUCAGCAUUCACAUGGGCCAGCAGGACUCUGAAGAUAACAGAAGAGAUCUUUCUGCUAACGGUCAACAUGUGUAUUACUGGUCCGCUUCCUGUUCAUUCUUAUGUAAAUAACAUCCCUUUCGAUGUUUACUUGUGGCUGGUAGCAAGUCUUGUUGCAAUGGCAGUUGGAUUCAAUCAUGAUUCAAAAUUUCACAUUAUUGCAAGUUGUUGUGGGGACUGCAAUUCUGCAACUGGGAACUUCUACUUAAUUUCUGAAGCACAAUUGUACUUCAAUAUCAUCCGAUGAAUGAUGACCUCCUUCCUGUACGAAGCACAUUAGUUGCAACUUGGAAGCAGUAGUAAUGCUAGCAUCUCCAUGUUCAACGAAGAUCGCCAAAUUGCCAAAUUGCAGUCAUGUUCUACACUGAGCUACUGUGAAUAAAUACUUCUUGGUUUCUCAGGUCUCAUGAUUCUCAACGCCCUGAAGUCUUUGAUCUUGUUGCGAAGAUGAAACUACACAAUUUUCCCAAGAACAGAAUUUGGUGUAUUACCUUGACAAGCAUCUCGGAUUCUGAUGUUUUAAUUGCUCUACCUAACUGUGCUGAUCCCUUGGAUCUUGAGUGGCUGAUGCUCGUCUCCAAUUGCACAACCUAGUUUUGAUUUCUGGCUCAGUUACUGUACCUAACUGCCUACAAGUAACAUUAAGCAGGUUUGAAGGUGGGCUGGAUCUUGUUUAAGGGUUUCCGGCCAUUUACCCUGCUUUCUGUAGCAAAGCAACAGCAGCAUACUGUAACACUGUUAUGUCGAAAUUAUGUUUCUGAAAUAUACCUACAAUCUUCGCUUACUUGCCAUCUUGAUUAUAGGUGGCUGACUAUUGUAAGCAUCACUGAUGUGUUUUGGGUUGGUCAUGAGAACAUUUGCGUCCACUAGCGUGUGUGAAUCAUUAUGCUUCCAAUGGUUGUCACAUUAUUUACCUCCUGAA